AAUAACAACAAAAUCAAUUUCAACAAUAUUUUGGUCUUGUAUUAUAAAUUAAGUCUCAAGCUUUCAAAAAACACCCUAUAUAAUACCGAUUUAAAGAAUUCGAGCAAUUUUAUGUAGAUCGUGUACCCAGAAGCAAAGGAAAUUGAGGUCGAAUAUCGACUAUUUUCUUCAAUCAUGUGAUAUAUUCGAUGAGAUCUUGUAGAUGAGAAAUAAGUGUAAAAACUAACAUAUGUUGAACUCGAACACAAGAUUCAUUCUGAAAGAAAUGCUAGAGCAAGUACGUCCUUCAAAUCAACCCAAGAAAGAUUCUAAAUUUAAAACUAUUAAGAUUCGAACUAUAAUUUCAAUCGAAGUUAUAACAAUAAUAAGUGUUGAUUAAUACAAAUUGAUAAAGACACAACAACUUUGGCGACGAGUGUUAAAAAGUGUUUGAGGCAAAUAUGACGCAUCAAGGACAAAUUCGUGAGUUUGAUAUAAAUUCAAAUGAUUGGACUAUAUUUCUUCUUCUAUUAGAAAACUACUUCAUCACUUAUGAUAUAAUAGAGACAAAACAGAAAGCAAUACUCCUAAAUGUAUUGACGAAAGAAGUCUACAAAUAAUCUGAAAUAUAUAAAAUUACUGAAAUUAUUCAACAAAAAAGAAUCCACGUUUGCCUACAAAUAAAAAUUCUAUAAUGCAACCAAUUCAGGCAGUGAAAAUGUCGCAGAUUGAGCAGUACGAGAGAGAAGUCUAGCUUCAAAUUGCGAAUUCAGAACCGAUAAAUUGGAUAUGAUGCUGCGUGAUGAAUUUAUAUUGGAUUUUUAAGACAAACUUUAAAAGAAAACAUGCUCAUUUGUCGCUUCAACAAAAAUGGCCGCCAAGAAGAACAACAAUUUGAAAUUCCUUGCCAAAUCUGAAUCACUUUGUUAUACAUCCCCAAGUAUGGAGAAGAAAUCGUCAUCAACCAAGAGCCAAUCAAGUUCAAGAUUCUCAUCCUCCUACAAACAAAAUCAAAAUCCUGCGCAGAGGAGCCAUGUUGCCAAAUGCCGAAUAUGUGGGAAGAAAAAUCAUGAAACUUCGGAAUGCUUCUUCAAGAACGCCAACUGCCACCGAUGGAAAAAGAAAGGACAUGUGGCAACAUCUGCAGUCAAGAAGAAUCUCAACAAAUAUGGAAAGAGACGAAAAGGUAAAUAUCAGCAAAACUUUUUAGUAGCUGAUAAAUAUAUUUUCAAUGUGAAUAAUAAUUCAAUCGAAGCUAUUUCAGUUGAAAUUAAAAUAAAUAAUAAAUCAUUUUCCUUUCAAAUUAAGCCAUAUCCGAAAAAUUUUUCAAAAUCACAUUUCAAAGAUUAUAAAUUAACGAGUAAAUUAAUAAACACUAACAAAAUUCUCCAUACAUAUAGUGGAAAUGAAAUGAAUUUAUUAGAAUAUCUAAAUUAAAUGUGACUUUAAAGGGUUAUUCUGAACAAUUGAAUAUUUUUAUUAUGUAUAAAAUACUCAAAUUUUUAAUGAAACAAAUGACAAACUUACUAGUCAUCCAAUAAUGAAACGAAAACCUGUUCAAAGAUUGACUGAUGAAAUGAAUACCUAAUUAAAAUUUUUCAAAAUUCUCAUUUUUGUAAAAAUAAAUAUUGUAUAUAUAAUGUUUAGGUAUAUAAUUUGAAAGUAUACUGAAAUUUCAAUUAUGUCAAAUUUCGGAAAAUGUGAAUAGUUAAUAGAUUGAGGGGGAAGAGUAUGAUAUAUUCGAUAAGAUCUUGUAGUUCAACACAUGUUACUUUUUACAAGUGUAAAAUUUAAAAAUAAGUAUUUUUAAGUGUAAAAAUUAAUACGUGCUGAAUUCGAAGACGACAUUCAUUCUAAAAGAAAUGCUAGAGCAAGUACCUUGUUUAAAUCAAUCCGAGAAAGAUUCUAAACUAAAAAUUAAGAUUCAAUUUAUGAUUUCAAUCGAAGUUAUAAAAAUAAUAAGUGAUUAUUAUUCCAAAUGGAUAAAGACACAACAAAUCACGAACGCGGAAUUUUGAAUUAGAAAUGAAUGAUGAAUUCAAUUGAUUGAAUAGUAUACUUGACGGAAAAACCAGUAUUGUUCAAAAUUUAACUAUAAAUAUUUCGAAAACCAACAGAUCCAAUGUAAAGAAAAUUAAUUUGCUGGAUAAAAAAACCUUUCCCAUUUCAAAAUUUAGGGUUAGGGGUUGAAACACUAAGGACUGAAACGAUAAUGAUAUAAAUUUGGUUCGGAAAGUUAUCCCCUUCGAAGCCCAAAUCGCAUAUUCGAGCAUUUUUUCGUAAUAAAUUCAUUCCCU